UUGUUUAGGGAUGAUGUUUUGAGGUUGUAGUGUAGCGCGAGACAUGGGGGCGGUGCUUCGAACUGCCAGACGGUCUAACGGAAUAGAAAGGGUUGCAAAAAUGCCCGUAGUCUGAACUGGCAUUCACAUGGGAGAGGCUGUCUGACGCAGUGUGUGCGGCCUCUACGCGCUAAACUUGCCGAAAGCAACAAUGAAACACACCAACAUCACGGAUUUUCAACUAUACUUACCAGAGUCAAGCCAUCUGAAGCGU